GGGGAUAUAGCUCAGUGGUAGAGCACUUGCCUAGCAUGCAUAAGGCCCUGGGGUCAAUCCCCAGUACUGCAA
rnacentral:tRNA from 1 species